CCAUGGACCCACGGGUCUAUGCAGGGAAACGAAACCAUGGACCCACACGUCUAUGCAAGGAAACGAAACCAUGUACCCUCGGGUCUAUGCAGGGAAAUGAAACCAUGUACCAACGGGUCCAUGCAGCGGAAAUGAAACCAUGUACCCACGGGUCUAUGGAGAGAAAUGAAACCAUGGACCCACGGGUCUAUGCAGCGUAAAUGAAACCAUGGACCCACGGGUCUAUGCAGGGAAACGAAACCAUGGACCCACGGGUCUAUGCAGGGAAACGAAACCAUGCACCCUCAGGUCUAUGCAGGGAAGUGAAACCAUGGACCCACGGGUCUAUGCAGGGAAGUGAAACCAUGGACCCACGGGUCUAUGCAGGGAAGUGAAACCAUGUACCUACGGGUCUAUGCAGGGAAGUGAAACCAUGGACCCCCGGGUCUAUGCAGGGAAAUGAAACCAUGGACCCACGGGUCUAUGCAGGGAAAUGAAACCAUGUACCCACGGGUCUAUGCAAGGAAGUGAAACCAUGGACCCACGGGUCCAUGCAGGGAAACGAAACCAUGGACCCACGGGUCCAUGCAGGGAAAUGAAACCAUGGACCCACGGGUCAACGCAGGGAAAUGAAACCAUGGACCCACGGGUCUAUGCAGGGAAACGAAACCAUGGACCCACGGGUAUGCAGGGAAACGUAACCAUGUACCCACAUGUCUAUGCAGGGAAAUGAAACCAUGUACCCACGGGUCUAUGCAGGGAAACGAAACCAUGGACCCACGGGUCUAUGCAGGGAAACGAAACCAUGGACCCACGGGUCUAUGCAGGGAAACGAAACCAUGGACCCACGGGUCUAUGCAGGGAAACGAAACCAUGGACCCACGGGUCUAUGCAGGGAAACGAAACCAUGGACCCACGGGUCUAUGCAGGGAAACGAAACCAUGGACCCACGGGUCUAUGCAGGGAAACGAAACCAUGGACCCACGGGUCUAUGCAGGGAAACGAAACCAUGGACCCACGGGUCUAUGCAGGGAAACGAAACCAUGGACCCACGGGUCUAUGCAGGGAAACGAAACCAUGGACCCACGGGUCUAUGCAGGGAAACGAAACCAUGGACCCACGGGUCUAUGCAGGGAAACGAAACCAUGGACCCACGGGUCUAUGCAGGGAAACGAAACCAUGGACCCACGGGUCUAUGCAGGGAAACGAAACCAUGGACCCACGGGUCUAUGCAGGGAAACGAAACCAUGGACCCACGGGUCUAUGCAGGGAAACGAAACC
rnacentral:lncRNA from 1 species